rnacentral:rRNA from 1 species
UACAGGGGGGGCGAGCGUUGUUCGGAAUUACUGGGCGUAAAGGGCCAGUAGGCGGCCAACUAAGUCACACGUGAAAUCCCCAGGCUUAACCUGGGAACUGCGUGUGAUACUGGAUGGCUUGAAUUCGGGAGAGGGAUGCAGAAUUCCAGGUGUAGCGGUGAAAUGCGUAGAUAUUGGGAGGAACACCAGUGGCGAAGGCGGCUCGCUGGACCGGAACUGACGCUGAGGCGCGAAAGCGUGGGGAGCAAACAGG